AGAGUUUGAUCAUGGCUCAGGACGAACGCUGGCGGCGCGCCUAAUACAUGCAAGUCGAGCGAGAACCGGGGCUUCGGCCCCGGGGAGAGCGGCGAACGGGUGCGUAUCACGUGAGCAACCUGCCUCGGAGACCGGAAUAACUCGAGGAAACUCGGGCUAAUGCCGGAUGCCCUCGGUGGACCGCAUGGUCCGGCGAGGAAAUGGAUUCCGCUCCGAGAUGGGCUCGCGGCCUAUCAGCUUGUUGGUGGGGUAACGGCCUACCAAGGCGACGACGGGUAGCUGGUCUGAGAGGACGAUCAGCCACACUGGGACUGAGACACGGCCCAGACUCCUACGGGAGGCAGCAGUAGGGAAUCUUGCGCAAUGGGGGAAACCCUGACGCAGCGACGCCGCGUGCGGGAUGAAGGCCUUCGGGUCGUAAACCGCUUUCAGCAGGGACGAAAUUGACGGUACCUGCAGAAGAAGGCCCGGCCAACUACGUGCCAGCAGCCGCGGUGAUACGUAGGGGUCUAGCGUUGUCCGGAAUUAUUGGGCGUAAAGAGCUCGUAGGCGGUUCGGCAAGUCGGAUGUGAAAUCUCCACGCUUAACGUGGAGGGGCCAUUCGAAACUGCCGUGACUCGAGUCCGGUAGGGGAGUUCGGAAUUCCCGGUGUAGCGGUGAAAUGCGCAGAUAUCGGGAGGAACACCAGUGGCGAAGGCGGAACUCUGGGCCGGAACUGACGCUGAGGAGCGAAAGCGUGGGGAGCGAACAGGAUUAGAUACCCUAGUAGUCC
rnacentral:rRNA from 1 species